rnacentral:rRNA from 1 species
UACAACAUAGCGUUAAUGCACUGAAUCCCAUUAGAACUUCACAAUUAAGCACGCUCGAGCUAGAAUAGUACUAGGAUGGGUGACUUCCUGGGAAGUCCUAGUGUUUUAC